rnacentral:rRNA from 1 species
ACACUCCACGGGAGGCAGCAGUGGGGAAUAUUGCACAAUGGGCGCAAGCCUGAUGCAGCCAUGCCGCGUGUAUGAAGAAGGCCUUCGGGUUGUAAAGUACUUUCAGCGGGGAGGAAGGCGAUAAGGUUAAUAACCUUGUCGAUUGACGUUACCCGCAGAAGAAGCACCGGCUAACUCCGUGCCAGCAGCCGCGGUAAUACGGAGGGUGCAAGCGUUAAUCGGAAUUACUGGGCGUAAAGCGCACGCAGGCGGUCUGUCAAGUCGGAUGUGAAAUCCCCAGGCUCAACCUGGGAACUGCAUUCGAAACUGGCAGGCUAGAGUCUUGUAGAGGGGGGUAGAAUUCCAGGUGUAGCGGUGAAAUGCGUAGAGAUCUGGAGGAAUACCGGUGGCGAAGGCGGCCCCCUGGACAAAGACUGACGCUCAGGUGCGAAAGCGUGGGGAGCAAACAGGAUUAGAUACCCCUGUAGGCACAUGAU